GUUACACAAGAGGAUCCGUUAUGCGGAGAGAGAAAGUGGCGGCCGACGAUAUUUCGCUGCGGGUAUAGCGGUCGUCUCUCGGCCAGCAGGAAACUGGACUGCUCCAGAACGGAGCACGACCGUGAACGUCAUCUCCGCCGGCUGGUUUCCAUAGAACGACGGCGACGUGUCGGCCAUCACGCUCCACGCGGAGAAAAGGGAAAGAAAAAGGUUUCGAACAAGAGAACAAUGGGACGUUUCGAUCGGAGGAUGACGGAGUCA
rnacentral:misc_RNA from 1 species